rnacentral:rRNA from 1 species
UAGAGUUUGAUCCUUGCUCAGAACGAACGCUAGCGGCAGGCUUAACACAUGCAAGUCGAACGGUAUAAAAGUAGCUUGCUAUUUUCAUACCGUGGCAGACGGGUGAGUAACACAUGAGAAUCUACCUGAUAGUAAGGAAUAACUACCAGAAAUGGUAGAUAAUACCAUAUACGCCCUGAGGGGGAAAGAUUUUAUCGCUAUCAGAUGAGCUUAUGUUAGAUUAGUUUGUUGGUGGGGUAAUGGCCUACCAAGACUAUGAUCUAUAGCUGGUCUGAGAGGAUGUACAGCCACAUUAGAACUGAGAUACGGUCUAAACUCCUACGGGAGGCAGCAGUGGGGAAUAUUGGACAAUGAGCGGAAGCUUGAUCCAGCCAUGCCGCAUGAGUGAAGAAGGCCUUAGGGUUGUAAAACUCUUUCAGUGGGAAAGAUAAUGACGGUACCCACAGAAGAAGUCCUGGCUAACUUUGUGCCAGCAGCCGCGGUAAUACAAAGAGGGCUAGCGUUGUUCGGAAUUACUGGGCGUAAAGGGUGUGUAGGCAGAUUAGUAAGUUAAAGGUGAAAUCCCAAGGCUCAACCAUGGAAUUAUCUUUAAAACUGCUAAGAUAGAGUACGAAAGGAGAUAGUGGAAUUCUUAGUGUAGGGGUGAAAUCCAUAGAUAUUAGGAAGAACACCAGUGGCGAAGGCGACUAUCUAGUUCGAUACUGACGCUGAGACACGAAAGUGUGGGGAGCAAACAGGAUUAGAUACCCUGGUAGUCCACACCGUAAACGAUGAGUGCUAGAUGUUAGAUUAUUUUAAUUUAGUAUCGUAGCUAACGCAUUAAGCACUCCGCCUGGGGAGUACGAUCGCAAGAUUAAAACUCAAAGGAAUUGACGGGGACCUGCACAAGCGGUGGAGCAUGUUAUUUAAUUCGAUGCAACGCGAAAAACCUUACCACUCCCUGACAUAAGAGCAGCCCUUUCUUU